rnacentral:rRNA from 1 species
AUUGAACGCUGGCGGCAGGCCUAACACAUGCAAGUCGAGCGGCAGCGGGUCCUUCGGGAUGCCGGCGAGCGGCGGACGGGUGAGUAAUGCCUAGGAAUCUGCCUGGUAGUGGGGGAUAACUCGGGGAAACUCGAGCUAAUACCGCAUACGUCCUACGGGAGAAAGCGGGGGAUCUUCGGACCUCGCGCUACCAGAUGAGCCUAGGUCGGAUUAGCUAGUUGGUGAGGUAAAGGCUCACCAAGGCGACGAUCCGUAGCUGGUCUGAGAGGAUGAUCAGCCACACUGGAACUGAGACACGGUCCAGACUCCUACGGGAGGCAGCAGUGGGGAAUAUUGGACAAUGGGCGAAAGCCUGAUCCAGCCAUGCCGCGUGUGUGAAGAAGGUCUUCGGAUUGUAAAGCACUUUAAGUUGGGAGGAAGGGCAGUAAGUUAAUACCUUGCUGUUUUGACGUUACCGACAGAAUAAGCACCGGCUAACUUCGUGCCAGCAGCCGCGGUAAUACGAAGGGUGCAAGCGUUAAU